rnacentral:rRNA from 1 species
GCAAUGGGCGAAAGCCUGACCCAGCAACGCCGCGUGAGGGAUGAAGUAUUUCGGUAUGUAAACCUCGAAAGAAUGGGAAGAAUAAAUGACGGUACCAUUUAUAAGCUCCGGCUAACUACGUGCCAGCAGCCGCGGUAAUACGUAGGGAGCAAGCGUUGUUCGGAUUUACUGGGCGUAAAGGGAGCGUAGGCGGAGCGGUAAGUCACUUGUGAAAUCUCUGCGCUUAACUCAGACCGGCCAAGUGAUACUGCUGUGCUAGAGGGCGGAAGAGGCAACCGGAAUUCUAGGUGUAGAGGUGAAAUGCGUAGAUAUCAAGAGGAACACCUGAGGAGAAGGCGGGUUACUGGGCCGACACUGACGCUGAUGCGCGA